CACGCAGAGCACACAACACAUACGCGGACCCAAAAUGUUUCCGUUUCGCAGAGAGAAACGAAGAAGCGGGAAGAUUGGCCGUUGGAAUUCAACGAGACCUCUCUCUACCCAACUGGGUCGUUUUUUGUGUCCCUCUUGACC
ensembl:ncRNA F10E9.16 ncRNA